rnacentral:tRNA from 1 species
UUAAUUGAAACCAAAUUAGAGGUUUAUCACUGUUAAUGAUAUUAUUGAAUUUAUUCCAAUUAAC